AGACUUGCGCUAUACCUGCACGGGUAGGCGGGUGAUCAAGUUUUUGGGGAGCGCCCGUUCAGGCGUGACUGCUCCUUCUGCUCUCCGUCGACAAACGCCACUUCCCCAACCGUCGCUGCCAUGGCGCAGACCAGGAGAGCUGCUGCUGACGCCGGCGCCAGCGCUGGCCCAGACGAUGAAAGUGGUUCUGGUGGAGCUCAUACCGCGGGCACCGGUACUGGGUCCACCCAAGGGUAUAAACUGAUAUCUUCUCUGUUUAAGCAUUCGAUUAGUACUAUGCUACUUGUUGUUUUGUUCAGUAGUACAGUAGAGAAUGCUUAUGCUUAUGUUGAGAUGCUCAAGUACAUGUUAGUAUCUGUCACAUCGUUUUUAUGGAUUAAAGCAUGUUGCAAAAUGGCUAGAUAUUCAACAGAUAUCACAAUGAAUAUUUAAAAAAUUGUUAGAAUUUUUUCACUGUUAGUUUUCAUAUAGUUUUGAACUGUUAGUUUCCAGAUGGUACAUCAUAGCCAUUCUUUCUUAGCAGAUAAAAUCGCAGUGAUACUAAAUUCAGAUCUUUAACAUCAUAACCAGAAUUGUAAACAAAGUGCAAGUGCUCAGCGAUUUCAGCCUCAUAGUGAUUAUCCAGUCCGAGCCGCUGCAGUGUGAAUAUAAGAUCCAAUAUUUUUGGUACUUCAUUUGUGCCUUUUAUAAUCUUCCUGACUUCUUCCUUUAACACCUCAGCUCGCUCUUUCAUGUAUGCAUGCUGCAAGAGACAAGCAUCAAUGCAAUGCCAUCGUUACUUGAGGUGCAGUUGGCGGCUGGUAAGUCAGGAAGAAAUCACCCCACAGGCUCGGGUGAAAGGUAGGAGCCUUUGUCAGCCCCUCAUCACGGUUGGAAUGAAGUGCAGACAUCUUCUCGGUAUUUAUAGAGGCAUGCAUGAGUGUGACUGGGACGCCGUUCAGUGUUUUGUUUCUGUCUUUGACAGGGUGCCGUGUCUGGAACAGACAUAAGGGGAUCGCCUAUGUUAAAGUAAACGAAAUCCAGUUAAUUACUGCAAAUGACAUGUCUGCUAGUGGUUCUGUUCACAACGACAACGAACCACAGGACCACUAGUUUUGGUUUUGAUGGCAUCUGGCGGCAAACCUUAUCAGCUAAAUCGAACGAAAGCAGAGUUUGAGGUGCAAAACUCGCAAGAGAUAUAAAGAGAGAAACGUGUCCACAGUUUGAUGAGUCAUGAAGCAUAUGCCAAAAGAAGAGUUUGAGGCAUGAAACAUGUAUAAAUGCCCUGGUUUAGGAUUUCGAAAGAGCGAAAUUGCCCAUAAUGUUAUUUGCAUGGUUCAAGUUUCA